rnacentral:misc_RNA from 1 species
GACCAAGAGUGUGGAGUACAUGCCUUUCUCUUUAUCAUUCUUUCUCACCUUGAGUGCAAUCAUGUGGUUCUUCUAUGGUUUUUUAAAGAAAGACCUUUUCGUUGCUAUUCCAAAUAUACUGGGGUUCAUAUUUGGUAUUCUCCAAAUGCUGCUCUAUGUUAUCUAUAGGAACCCCAAGAAAACCUUGGAGAAGCCAACACUUAAUGAAUCAUCUGAACACGUUAUUGAUGUAGCAAAGCUGGGUGCAACUAUUUGCUGCGAGCUUAACACUGCAGUGGCUGGACCCAAUAAUAUUGGCAAUGACCAUGUUGAAGAUAAAUAUGUCAAGGAGCAGUGCAAGCAAAUUAAUCAAGACAAGAAUGUCUCCGACACAGUUUAAGUUUUAACAACCAAAUUAAUGGACAAAGAUUUUUCUUUUUUUUUAGAAAAAUCAAUCCCUGCAGGAGUAUUGUCCAAUAAUACAUAUUGUCUCAGCUUGUCCCUAGUUAAAGAAAGUAACAAAGGCUUGUACUUCUAUGUAAUUUGGUUUCUCUAAUUAAAAAAAUAAGGCACUUCAUGAGAUGAAUACCAA